UUUUCAUUUUAAUUUCCUUAUUUUUUCUUGCUUUGCUUUUUGUUUUUUAAGUCAUUUUUCUUUUCGAGACAGAAUCUCACAUCAUAACUCCAAAUGACCUGCUGCUCACCAUGCAGCCCAACUGCCUUCAAACUCACUAGCCUCCUGCCUCGGCCUUCUAAAUGCUGGUAUUACUGGCAUGACUAGAUGUUUCAGAGAAGAUGCAACUGAUGUGCCUCACAAAGUAAACCACCCACAUUUCAACUGGGCUCGUUCCCGUCCAUCUGAUGAGAAGCUAUCAUACCGUCCUUUAGAUGGUAGUCUAUCGAGGGAAUGAGUUGAACAUGUCUGUGUGCAGCUUCUGUGCGUCCGACGUUUGUAUUCCAGGCAAAUGGCAGGAUGCCUGCACCUUUAACGUUAGGAGCAAUUAAGUUAUGUAUGCUACCACAAACCACUGUAUUCAACUUACUCAGAAGCUCUGAAAACCAGACCUGAAAAUUUUAAUAUAAAGGCUCUUAGUCUGGCUUGGAUAAGACAUCACAAAGAGGCACCAUUUGCAGUGGCUUUACAUGAAAAUUUUCUGACCCUGAAUAUGGCUUGAUGGAAAUCAUUUGCUGAGCCCUACCCAUUCAUCCUCACCCUCCAGGGGUCGCUCACCUGCAGUCUCUGCAUUUUCCCAUCGUCCAUCACUCGCAGAAAAAGCUAAUCUUUAAAGAUAUACAGAUGACCGUGUCUCUGCCUUGCGAAGUCUUUCGGUCUGGACAUGAUACCUCUAAUCUACCACUGAACGACACGGUUCCUGCAAACCUCUGUGGCUUUACCGAGUAACACGGAACAACGCUGACCUUUUUCCUCAAGAAUCUUCCCCUCUUCCUCUGUUUAUUUAUCUAUCUCCCUGUUUGCCUGUAGUAUAAACAUGUUGAACCACUGGGUCCCUGCACCCUUCACACAGCAUCCUGACACCAAGAAACGGCUUAAAAUUUUCUCAGAUAAAUUGUUAGCAGUGCUAUAUUGCAAUUACUUGGUUUGAAACAAGUAGGAAAAUCCUGCUGUGCUGUAACCUUAGGGGCCAAGAAGCUGUCUUGAUGUUUCUAGCUACCACUUAUAUCUUGGUUUAUGCGUAUCAAAAAAGCUAAAGUUGAUCCACUAAGAAAACACAGUAUUAUGUUAAUAUUUUUAGGUAUGCCAUAUUUAAAGAAUGUACUUAAUUCAUGAAUGUCUUUUUCCCCUGUAUUUAUCAUUUUUAUUUCCAAAAAUCUUACAAAAUCAUCAAACUACUAAUUUUUUGCUAAACUAUACAAUUCUCAACUUCUGUGUACACAGAAAAGGAAAGAUUUCUCUUUUACUUCAGAUUGGUUGCCAAUAGAACUUAGGUUGAAAAUAA
rnacentral:sRNA from 1 species